UAAGUAUCGAUAACUUCGCGGUCUCACUUUACUAAUCUAUCGGUCAUCACUAAGGGCAAAAACGUAAACAAAUCUAAAAUUACAAUUAUUGUCGGGAAAAUGGAUUACAUUUGGUGGCUAUCGAUGUCCUAGCCAAGCGCUCCCACCCAACCAUGGAUGCCCUAAAGAUGCUGCAGGGCACCACCCAUUCGCUGUCGGCAGGAGCCCCCUCCUCGCGACUACGGCGGUUCCAUCUCCCCCACUGGGAAAGAUUACUCACACAUCGUGUGUAUUACAAAGGUUUUAAUAAAUAUCCCUUUAAGACCGAAACCUGGCCGCCGUCUCGGAUAUUUACGCGGUCAAAGCAGAGGAUUUUGUUUGGCUGGAAAAGGGUACAGGCGCCGCGGGAAUUAUGCUCUACCAGCCAUGUAUUGCGCGAUGCGCGUGUGUAUGGUCACCUAAUCCUGAGGAGCUCCAAGGGAAAAGAAGGGACAGGCCAAAAAGGCAAACAACGAGGACAAAUAAGGCUCUCGGGUCUAACUCCGGAUAAAUUCACAAACAGGGAAGUAGAUAUCUAUAUAUAUAUAAUCAAGGUACACGUGUAUUUAAUUUUGCUAAAUUUCAGCCACUAUUGGGCCGGGCCUGGAGGCAAUGAUAGCCCGGGCGGAAGGCUUCUCGCCGGAGGCCAGCAGUGAUCCGGAUCUCCACACAGGAAAAAGGCGCUCUCCGGUGAGUUAUGCAAUGACAGUCCGAGAUUCGGCUGCCAGACAAAUGGCGAUUCUUCUCAGCGCCGCAAUGCGACCGCUGGAAGUUCCCGAGAGGAGGAUGACGCGGUACUCCGGAACGGACUCACCGGGAAAUGUGGACGUCGUCGUCGACUGGGAAAGGCCCUUCUUGCUGGUCGCUGAUACGGGUCGAACGGACACCGUUUGCUGGGCCGCCAAGUCGGGCUGGCAGCUGAAUCUGCCUUGAUUGUAGGACAGUAUGGCCGCGACUAUCGCGGUAUCUGCUGAUCAUCGCCCCCGCCAUAUUACAUGGCCUCUCUCAGCAUUGGGUCAUUGGAUACAUGGGCCAUUUGAAGUAAUCCCAGAGCGAACCGGGAUUAAUCUUCAAAUGGCCAGAUCGCCCGCCAGACUCAUCCCGCUGCUGCAGCUAUCGCCCUAUCGACCUAAACUAUCGAUAACGUCGCUCCCACUCGCCUCCAAUUGCAACAUCAACCAAAGAUUUCGAGGGGCGCUGCCCGGAGUUUCAGCAGAACGAUGAAAUA